AUAACCUCCUUAAGGAUGUUUGCUUGUCAUGUUUUGGAACUUUUGUCAGAUUUUCGAAAUCCUCUGGUUUUAUCAAUUUGAAUGCCUGAGAAAAUUUUGCCCAUGAACCCCCAUUUUUCUUUUUAUAAAUCUUUUACAUGUAUAAUUAUAAGCCAUUUGUAAAAGUCUUAUAAAAUCUUAUUUAUUUUUAAAUAGUUUCUGAGAACUUUAACUGGUCAAUGAUAAAGCUAUGAAAAAUCUAGAGAGAAUAUUUUCCCACCAAAAUUCCAAUGGCUAAUAUCUCGAAAACAGGCACAUUGACCCCUAUAUUUUUUUUGCUUUU
rnacentral:lncRNA from 1 species